GUUGGCUGGAGGGUGAUGUAGAACUGCGAGCCGUUGCUGUGGCGGCCCUUGUUGGCCAUCCCGAGGACCCCUCUUCCCUUGUGACGGAUGGAGAAGCUUUCAUCUAGGGAAAUAGUUCAGGAAUGAAAGGCCACAGUUGCGUUGCUCCCUUUGCUGCUAUUCACUGUACAGCUCCCUUUUGCCAGCUCCCGCCAGCUCCCCUCUCCUUCGUCCCUGCUCUCCCUUCUCCUUUUCCCCCAAAGGUCUCAUGCGAGCCAAGUCUGGUUUGAAUCGAUGUCCUUCCUAGACAGAGCUCCCCACUACUGCCUGGUGCUUAAGCCAGUGAAGAAGCUAAUGAAAAACAGCCAUGAAAAAGCACUCAAGGUAUUUCUGAAUGUCAGAGCCACAGCAACGAUGCCUCCGGCUCCCUGUGGAGGAGCUCGGGUCAUUUAGCGUGGCAUUUCCCCGCAGCUGCUUGGGAUUAUUCCCACAGUAGGGAUGAGGAGGGUGGGAGGCAGAGCGGAUGCUCCAAGCACAGCCUCUGCUCUCCCUCCCCUCAUGCUGCUGCCUGCGGUGAAGGGGACAAGAUCCCAGGCGAGCGCAGGCAGGGCUGUGAGGGCAGGACAUGCCUGGCUGGGGCGGGAUGCCCGAUGCGCCCUGCGUUCGGCAACUGGCGCGGGAGAGCGAGCAGGAGCCUUCUUUAGCCGAAGAAAAUGACAGAGCUGAAUAAACGGAGAGCAGGUAUCUAGUUAGUCAAGGAGGCCGGGGUGCUCCCAGAGUGGAAGCUUUGUUCCAGGGAGAGGAGAGGAGGCAGGCGAUGGGAGAUGCAAGGCAAGAGCAAGUGAGAGCCCCGGGAAGGUGAACAGGAUGCUCCGUGCCAGCUGAGGAAGCGCUGGUGGGGGAGAAAAGAAUCAGCUCUCAAGAGGGAUGACUGGGGAAGAAUAGACAUAAAGUGUGCUUGACUUUGGGGGAUGAUGGCAAGGACUUGAUUCCUGCUCCUCCGUGGAGGGGAGCCUGGGCACGAGGUGGGGAGCAGGGGGCGCGCUGAUCCUGGCCCCCUCCGUCGCUCGUCUCUGACCUGAUCACACUGAGCAGUCGAGAGCUCCAUCGAGUGUUCAACGAGCUUGAAGGGAACCAUAGAAAUGUUUGGAUUUUAUUGUUCUCUGAUUUUUUUAAAAAUCUUUACCCUGUUUAAGUGCCCUUUCUCGGAAACUGAUUAAAAAAUGGUAAUUAAAUUUUAACUGAACAGUUACUCCCUGACCGCUGCCUUGCGGUUUACAAAGUGACUUCAGCAGACUAAUUUUGGAGUAGGAUGCUUUGUUCUAUGACACGGCGCUCCAGUCCGAGUGAUUCUCUGUAAUUACUUCAGUCCUUUCAGCUCAUUACAGUAAAAUGCAGUUGCGUCCCAUUAAUUUCAGCAGGCGGUGCAGUGCCCGGACAUGUGCCAAGCGCAGCGUCUCCCAGAACAUUACUGGCUGACAGAGGCAUCUCUCACCCUUUUCAGAUAUCGAAGACAUUUGUCCUCUGCCCUCAGUGUAAAACAGUUUGGCGGGAAGUACUGGGAAAGCAAUCUAAGCCUUAAAAUAGAAAGGCAUACCCAAGGGAACACCUUUCUCAAGGAUGAAAAGUAACUUCUAAUUAAAAAAGGGGAGGGGAAGAAUUAGCAAUCCUCUCCUUUAAUACAUCAACACGUGGAGUACAUGCAAUAUGAGUAAUAAAACUCUUCCAGGGACACUUUCAAGGUUGGCAGACUCCAAAUUAAAUCCACCUUAAAAUUACUUAAGCAAUUUUUGAUGCAUUGUCACCUUCCCACAUGAGAUGGCAGCUUCUUUCCUGGGUAGCACAGACAAAGCACGAGCUUUGCCUGGAGGAGGAGGAUGCAACCAGAAGCAAAAUGCUGCGUGCUGGGCUAGGGGCUUCGUGCUGCCGCCCGGGCAGUGCGCGUGAGGCCGUAGCUUUCCUGUAUGCAGAGGUGCCUACGCCUGCUCAGACUCAUUUUCCUCUGUGGAUGGUUUCUACCCGAACAGCCCUGGCAGCGGAUACGCUGAAAGAAAGUGCGAAGGGUGCGAGAUGUGCACUAGCACAAAUCAAUUGGGUAGCAUUGCUGGAAAAGAGGAUUCACAAACUUAAAUCCUCGGUGAUGUCCGCCUUGCAAACAAUUUGACAGCCCUAUUUUUUCCAAUACCAGCUUAAAUUGCUUCCGAGAUCUGUGUGUCCUGAGAGUUGAGGCUUACUGCUAUUUCAGGAGCUCCAGCAUCAAAGCAGCAACUUUUGCUCCUUCCCACCCACUCUAGGCAGGGUGUAGCAUUUACUGCCUUAAAUCCCGCACGCCGGGCUCCCACCUCCAGCAGCUUUCCUGCCCGCCAGCGCUGCGACUCGGCCGGGCAGAGCCGGCUGGCGACCCGCCGCCUCCGGACGGGUUUUGCUCCAUCCGUCCCAGGGCCUGAAGGUGAAAGCUUCUCCUCGUGAGUGGGCUCUUCAACAUCUUGGGAAAGAAAGUUUUCAGCUACAGUUGGCAUUUCUGAUCUCACUGUUGGCUGCUGCCCAGCCUGCUCAAAUGUCACCUCGUUUGCGCCAUUGGCAAUGGGAAUGCUUUUAUAUAAGGAACAUAAAUCAGUUUCAAAAGUGCUUUAACUGUCAUAAAAUGUCUUUAUGGGUAGGAUUUAAUCUAAAUAGAAGAUCUCAAACGUCUAUGUCAAUUAUAUAGGUUGUUUUUCUUAAAUAUUGCAUGUUAUAAUGUUCUUUUUUCUUUACAUUUUAGUACUUUAUAUCAGUAUGGGGGAACAUUUUUUGUUAAACUUAGCUUGCGUUUGUCAUUUCUUGACUUGCACGGUUUUAUGUGAGCUGUUGAGAAGUAACUCCCCUUACACCCGCAGAGUCACGUAGCCGCUGGCAGCGAUGCCUGCGGUGUGCCCAAGCCUGAAAAGCUGCCCGAGGUCCAGGAAAUCUAGAGUUAAAGCCAACUUAUUUCCAUUGCUUUAAAUGCAUUUAAACAAGUGCUGUCGGGUGCCUGGAAAUCUGUAGCUAAUCCACCUCUGUGUUUCUAAGGUCCUGUUCACAAGGUGAGUAUUUGCAGUUUGAAGUGGGCAAGCGGGUGAGCAUCAGCCCUCAUUUAGACAGGGGGAAGGGGCUGGUGGAGCUGGGCCUCAGGCAAGGGAUGUCAGAGGAGGAGGAGGUUACAGAUCAAAAAAUGACCUCGCUAAAGCAGUCUGCACAGGCUAAUACAAGCGGAUAAUAAUUCUCACUGAAAAGUCUUUUGCUUUAGGGAGAUGAAAGGAAAUUCCCAGGUUAUUCUGUGAAUGAGAUCAGGUAAAUAACUUGAUUUUUGCAGAAAUUUGCCAUUUCAUAGAAUCGUAGAAUGGUUUGGGUUGGAAGGCACCUCAAAGACCAUCUAGUUCCAACCCUCCUGCCAUGGGCAGGGACACCCUCCACUAGACCAGGUUGCCCAAAGCCCCAUCCAACCUGGCCUUGAACACUUUAUUUGCACAGUAAGAUAGCUGAGGAACCAUACCUUCAAAGGUGGGACCAUAAAUUGACUCUCCGCUGUCUCCUUUUCCAGUUAUGAUGUCUGCAGGGUAGAUAAAGGUAACCAUCAGAGACCAGGUUUAUCACAGGGCUGUCAGUGAGCAGCUCUGCCGAGGUCAGAGACGUGAGUUGCACAUCAGCCUGAGGGAACAACUGCAUCCAUCUUUCUGCUUUACUACCAAAAUUUUAUCAGACCUUUGGGAAGAGCUCUGCUUCCAUCCCAAGAGGUGGUCUCUCUACGGAGAACUAUUCACAUGGUGCAUUUAAUCGCUGCCCCUCUGAGAAGGUCCAGCAUCUCCUGCUGGGAGGGCUCCUGCGGUGGCAGCGCCCAGCCGAGGACGGGGCGCCCUGGAGAAGGACGUCUGUCAGAAGUAGUAGAGUUGGAAGAAGGAAGGAUGAAAAUGCAGCUGUGUAUUAUGGUGAGUUAAGACCACUAACUUGUCUAAGAAAAGAGGUUUGAUAAGAGAGAAAUUCCUAUUGAACCAGAUUUCUCAUAAGUGAGGCACUAAAGGAACUUGAUGCAUCUUUUUUUAAAAUUUUUUAAAAAGAAGUCUGGUAUUGUUACUUUAUUUAGACAUUGUAUUACACCAUCAGGUUAUGGCUAGUCCUCUGCAGUAGCAAGUUUGUAAUUUUAGGUUGCUGUUAUGGACUGCAUAGGUACCUGCACAGUUAUUCAUGAAAAGUAAGAAGUGUACCUUCAAAGUAUAAACUUGAAAUGUAUUUACACACUGACAUUUGGAGCAAGGCAAAGACAGGUGAGAAACACAGGUAGGUAAGAUAUAUGCCAGACCAAAGGGAAGUAACAAAAUGCCUAACGAUCUUGACUUCCCUGGGGAUGUCAGCUGGACAAGCUGUGUGACCCAUCGUUCGUGCUGCAUUUCUCCUGGGUGCCACGAUCCAGGCACAGCGCUGGCACUCAGACAGCUCACCAGCACGUUUGGAAAGGGCUCUGACGCUUGGCUAAAUGCCUCCGUAAAUUAAUCUCUCUAGAAAACAAUAUGUUUUCCUAUGGAUAUUCUUAGUGUUUUCGUGUUUCCAAUUAGUUUCCUAAUUACUUACCAAAGAACUUCAUGGAAAAGAGUUUUCAAUUAGUUUCCUACAUUCUUUUGACAAGGUCUUCCAUAAUCAAAAUAAAUUAUCCAAACUUUUCCUAUGUUUAGAAAGUGAGAUGGCCAAAAGAGAAAAUACUUUCUGGGUGUUAUAUAUAUAUAUAUCUAUAGAUACGUAUUAAUUAAGAGCUUGUCCUGCAGAGAUUAGCUUUGUCCUGGAGUUCAGUUACAUCUCUGCAGAUGAAGACUGUUAUUCAUGCAUAUCAUCCCACCCCCCCAACCCCCCACCUUCUGCUGUAACUCAGAUUUGCUCGGCACACCUGGAAACCCACCUCCUCCUUGGAUCCACCCGUUUUUCACCAGGCGAUGAAAAAGGGAGUUUUUGUAGGUGAGCUCUCGGCCGUCGCAGAGAGACUUUGCUCCUCCGGCGCACAGGGCACGGAAAUUCUCACAGGUCCUGGGACACGCGUCCGAAAAGAGCUGCAAAAUUAAAACGAGAGAGGAAAACACGUGUGAAAUUCACAGCUGACGUCCACCGGCCAGAUUUCUGUCCCUGCUCCUUCGACAGGUGAAACCACCGCGCUGGGUGUGCUUGUUCCUGGCUUUUGCUUUUCUCCUCUGUAACGUACCUCAAACAGCAGCCUCCCGACGGGCUGUUCCUCAAUGGCUAUCUCCAGGUACACAAACACGUGCUGUUUAAAGCAGAAAAACAGACACAGUGAGGGAAAGGCCCGCUCUCCGUGCUGCACUCGCCUCCUAACGCAGGCCGGGGUCCAGCUGCCCGGCGCAAAUGGUCUCAGAAAAUCUCCGUGGGGUUGUCAAUGUACAACAGCAUUCCUACUGUUUUGUUUAAAUAAACAACAAAAGUAGAGGAUGUUUCACUUCAUUCUGGACAGAAAUAAUCCUAACCGUGCAUUAAAGUGAACUACUGGGCAGGGCUCGCUACUUCAUCUUGCAUUUAUUUACGUGCCUAUUGCAGCCCAUACGAUACAGGCAGGAAUAAAUGAAUCUGCAGGAAUACCGGCCAUCCUGCUAAAACGGACAUUUCUCACUCUUCCAGCCAGACUCAAAUCUGUGUGUAAUUGGUGCUGCGUCUUCUGUGGUAUUCAUUUUGGUGUUUGCUGUAGAAAUCCUCAGCAAUCGCUUGGUAAAGUGCCUCGGGCUUGAAGUCGCGAUAGUCCCACUCAUGGCGGGCCCACUUGAGCAGCUCCUCCUGGUCCCCCAGCAGCCGGCCAUCCACGAAGCACAUCACCGAGGCGGCGUACGCCCACACCUCGCCUCUCAGCUCCUGAGUGUCAGAGGGACCACAAAGCCUCCAGGGAUGAAUUACACACUCAGUGAAGAAGCAGUCAGUAAUAUCCACCCCGGGUAAGGUGGCCUGUGGUGUUUUUAUGCCUUUCCUACUUUUAAAACCACAAAUCCCGCCAACUGGAAGGGAUUGGGCAGCAGCUUUCGGUGAGGUGUGCUGACGCUGCACGCAGUUACGUGCCCCAGAGGUCGGGACCCCACUGCUACGGGACGUUAUCGUGACAAGAGUCAGCUGGGUGCCACUUUGGGGGCAGCUCAGACUGAACAGACCCCUCGAGGGUCUCUGAGGACAUUCAGUGACUUGGGGUGGAAAAGCUCACUUCUGAAACCUGCGGAUGGCACCGAGCUGGGAGAGGCUGCAGCCCGGAGGAGAGGACUUGUGUCCAAAACAACCUGAGGAAACAAGAGUUACCUUCUUUUUCUCCUGUAAAUAUUCAUGCCAUGCAAAUUCUACUAAAGGCUGUAUUACAGGAUCUGCAAACUUGCUUGGAAACUUCAGCUUCAGAGCCUAGAUUUUCAAGAGCUGCGUUAAAGGACUUGUCAUAAGCUGCCGAGCAAAGCGAGCUGAGCUGCGAUGUGCCUGACAUAGAGCAUUGCACAGCUGUAGCUUUUCGUGGAGGUGCAGGAACAAGAAGGAACAAAAACCAGAUUAGAGGGAAGUGUGUGGCAGAGCAGAGGACUGAAGCCAGCUCUUUCCAGAGCUCAUGACGGAUGCUGUCACUACGGGAUGGUUAGCUUGUUGCUAACGGUGGCUAAUAGCAGAUGCCCAGCAAAAAGGGGCAAGAAUAAGCAAACACGACAGCAGUGCUUCCCUGUUACUCUCCUGGACUCUGGUGAGCCUCUGCUCAAGGAUUGCCUGCUAUCUUUGUGUUUAAUUCCCCUUAGUGGCUCUUUUUCAUGUGAAUUUCUUUGCUUUGCAGACAAACAUAAAAGUCCAUCCCCAACAAAAUCCCGUGGCAACGAGAUUUACACCUUAAUUACACCCUGUGUAGAGUGUGCAUCUCCUUUUGAUGCGGAGACUCCUACCCGCAGCUGUGUUCACUGGGUGCUGCUGAGCCAUCGUUCCCACCGGCAGCCUGGGCAGAGCGGUACGGCACAUGGACGGAGCGGUUCCAGAGGGGUCACGGCUCCGGCAGCAAAGCUUUGUGCCAGCACCGCAGCUUUGCGCCCUUCCGGCUAAAGCAACAUGCGCAAAAGCAGUUUUGUGGGACAGCUGUAGGUUCAGCACGGCUGGGUCAGGUCACUUUUCAUCUCUGAGCAAGGUGAAUUUUAGGAGACAUCGGUGUUGGAAGUGACCAGGCUGAAUCGUAUGUCACGUCAAAAAUUUGCAUAAUCUUUCCUGAGACAUCAUGGAGCAAUGGAACAGUUGUCACAUCCCAGGAAAAACAGGUCUUUAACAUGCCAAAAUCCUAUCGCAGAUGAGAUAGUUGUGAUUUUCCUGUGGAAAAUAUGUUCUGCAG